rnacentral:lncRNA from 1 species
AACUAGAAACUUCCCAGAUAAGGGCUUAAUCCAUUUUAUUAAGCCAGUAUACACUUAAAGACUUUAGGUGAAUAACUCUAUAACACCUUAGUUUAUACACCAUGUUUAUAUAUAAAACUAAUACCCAAUAGAUAGUUAAAUGUGUGUUUUCCGCCUUACUUCCUGUCCUCGUUGGGUUGUGGACUUAGGGCAGAUUCACCCAAUUAACUUUCUACCCGAUAUCAGAUUAUAUAUAGCAGUAUAAACAAAGCUAUUAUAAAAGUAGUCACUGUAGUCAAUAUUUUACUAUAAGAAAUAUAGGUUUUCUUAAAAGAACUUUUCGUUAGACAUAAAGGAACCAUUACAAAUAAUUCCAUGAGUAAAAAUUGAUUACACCAGGGUUAUAUAUGACAACGAUCUAAUAACCAAUGAAAUGUGUGCUAUCCUCCUUACUUUUUGUUCCCCGUUGGGUUGUGAGCUUAGGGAAGAUGCGCACAAUCGAUUGUUUAUUUACUCUGAGUAUAUAUAACUUGUACCCACUUAGUACGCAUAGAAAGGCUUGUAGUGUCAUUUUACAUAACUUUCAUUCAAGUAGGAAAUAUAGGAUUUUCUAGAGGAACAGGCGAACUUUUCAAAACAGAACUUACAGCUUACAUCACUUGUGUGUACAUUGUCAACCAAUUUUUACAGCUUACUCACAUCACUAAAAUCUUAUGAACUCACCAGCUUAAUUGCUGAUCAACUCUUUCAAAUAACUUGUAUUCUCAGGAGACUAUUAGACAGGUGCUCGUGCUGGGACUUCAGAAGAUGGAGCAUUAUAGCUUCAAGUCUUGUUUUGUUAUUUGUUUAUGACUUCUAUGUUUUGUGAACACACACAUUGUAAAUACUUUCUUUCUAAAUGAAAUGGUUGUUCAUUACUUGCUUACCAUAUACAUAUCUCAUGAUAUUAAACAUGACGUCCUCCACCCCCGAACGUUUCCGUCGUUCCGGUUUUGGGGUGUGACAAGUAGGGUAGUUCUCCUCAUGAGGCUUCAGAUGCCUCGAGGCGUACACGAUCACAUGCCCCCUCUACAUAAAAAAAACGCCCAACUCUAUGAUAGAUGCAUCACAAUACACCACCAGAUCAUUCAAUCCAUUGGGUAGUGCCAAAAUCGGGGCCUCACAUAACCUCUGCAUCAAGGCCUCGAAAGCCAACUGCUGUUCCGGGCCCCACCGAAAUGUCAUAUUCUUCUUGGUCAACCGGGUCAAAGGCACCGCAAUCUUGGAGAAGUUAUGUAUGAAUCUCCGAUAGUACCCCGCUAGACCCAAGAAGCUACGAAUCUCAGAUACAUUCCUCGGCACUUCCCACCGCAUCACUGCCUCAAUCUUGGCUGAAUCAACCAAAAUACCUCUUAGCUGAUGAUGUGCCCCAAAAAAUGCACCUCCCGUAACCAGAAAUCACACUUCAAGAACUUGGCAUAAAGCCUUUUCGUCCUUAGUGUCUCCAAUACCUCCCUCAGAUGUUGCUCGUUUUGCUCCUUUGUAUUAGAAUAGACCAAGAUAUCAUCAAUAAAAAUGAUCACCGACCGAUCCAACAUCGGCCUACACACCUUGUUCAUGAGAUCCAUGAACGCUAUUGGGGCAUUGGUGAGCCUGGAUGGCAUCACCACAAACUCGUAGUACCCGUACCGGGUCCUGAAAGCUAUCUUCAGUAUAUCCUCUUCUUGAAUCCUCAUCUGAUGGUAUCCCGACUGAAGAUCAAUCUUGGAAAACCAAGAUGCACUCUGUAGCUGAUCAAACAAAUCAUCGAUCCUCAGGAGCGGAUUUUUCACCGUUAAUUUUUUUAGCUCCCGAUAAUCAANNNNNNNNNNNNNNNNNNNNNNNNNNNNNNNNNNNNNNNNNNNNNNNNNNNNNNNNNNNNNNNNNNNNNNNNNNNNNNNNNNNNNNNNNNNNNNNNNNNNCAAACACCACUGCCCCCAAUUCCAGGUCAUGAGUGGUGUGACAACCCGAAAUUUUUUAUUUUAUAAGCUCAUUCAUUCAACUCAAAUGAGUGUCAAAAUCAUUAGUACAAAGUUCUGGCAUGGUUACAGGUCAUUCUAAGGAGUUUUGAGUCUAAAACACUUAAGGAUUAAGUGUUAGAAAGUACCCGCUAGAACCACAGUGUAGUAAAUCGGACCCUAACCCCAUCUAAAUGAGUUCACGGCCACAAGACCAUGAGUUUACGGCCGUAAACUCAUGUGGCCGUAAACUCAAGUAUAUAUAUAGAGCGUUGGGUCAUUUCCUCUCAUUUCUUCCUUUCUUGGCCGGAUUUUCUCCCAAAUCCUCUCAACUAUCAUCCAACCUCCUUCCUUAGAUCUUCAAAAGAGUGAGUAUUCUAUCCCUUGAUUAGUUAAUACAUCUUAUUAACUAGCUUCUUACAAUGAUUUCAUCCAUGAAAAAUCAUGUUUGUUUAGAUACUCAAGAAACACCAAGAACACACACUAGUGUUCUUGGCCAAAUCGACUAGUUCAAGCUCCUAUAUCGUAAGCACUCUUAUUCCAACUUGUUUUACACUAGAUUAAACAUGUCUAGACCUUAGAAACAUCAAGAAACAAAGGUUAGAAGAGAGUUUACGGCCAAGGAUGUUCUUGGGCCGUAAACUCCCUUUUAGGGUGCAAAGAUGCCCCAAAUUCCUUCCUUAAGCCUAGAGACUAGCCUACCUCUUUACCUUGAUGUGUUUAGUACUCAAAAAAUCAAAAUACCAUCACCCAUAGGUGAUUACGGCCGCAAACACGUGUCAAAGUGGUCCAUGGGCCGAAAACUCAAUUUAAGGGUGUAUUGGUGCCACAAACACUUCCUAAGGCUUUGACUUGAAGUUAGGAUGCUUCACUAUGACUUUUAGGACCCUAAACAACUCUCAUAAACAUAAAUGGUCAUGAGUUUACGGUUGUAAACUCAUUAGGGACGUGAACACCCCAAAAGCUGCAAAGAAAGUGGUCUUCCUCAUCCUAGGGUAGAGCUAAGGUCCCCAAAACAUCUAUAGCCUUCAAGCUUGCAUUUAUACGUGAGUAACCAUGAGUUUACGACCGUAAAAUCCCUCGAGGCAUCUGAAGCCUCCAAUAGCUAAUAGGAUGUGUGCUCUUCUCUUCAUUUCCUAUUCUCGUUGGAUUGUGGGCUUGGAACGAGUUUACCCAAUCUACUAUCUACCCGAAUCUAUAUAUAUAUAUAUAUAUAUAUGCUUAGUAUACAUUAAGUCAUCAUAAGGGUACCAGGUAUGGAACAGGUCAUAGGACACAGAGUCAAUGUACAGUUUUUCUAGUACAAAACUUACUUUUCAAAGUCAGUACUUUUGGUAUACAAAACUAGAGAUUUCCCAGAUAAGGGCUUAAUCCAUUUUAUUAAGCCAGUACAGUUUUAGAGACUUUAGGUGAGUAACUCUAUAACACCUUAGUUUAUACACCAUGUUUAUAUAUAAAACUAAUACCCAAUAGAUAGUUAAAUGUGUGUUUUCCACCUUACUUCCUGUCCUCGUUGGGUUGUGGACUUAGGGCAGAUUCACCCAAUUAACUUUCUACCCGAUAUCAGAUUAUAUAUAGCAGUAUAAACAAAGCUAUUAUAAAAGUAGUCACUGUAGUCAAUGUUUUACUAUAAGAAAUAUAGGUUUUCUUAAAAGAACUUUUCGUUAGACAUAAAGGAGCCAUUACAAAUAAUUCCAUGAGUAAAAAGUGAUUACACCAGGGUUAUAUAUGACAACGAUCUAAUAACCAAUGAAAUGUGUGCUAU